CAGGCCUAACACAUGCAAGUCGAACGGCAGCACAGGAGAGCUUGCUCUCUGGGUGGCGAGUGGCGGACGGGUGAGGAAUACAUCGGAAUCUACUUUUUCGUGGGGGAUAACGUAGGGAAACUUACGCUAAUACCGCAUACGACCUACGGGUGAAAGCAGGGGACCUUCGGGCCUUGCGCGAUUGAAUGAGCCGAUGUCGGAUUAGCUAGUUGGCGGGGUAAAGGCCCACCGAGGCGACGAUCCGUAGCUGGUCUGAGAGGAUGAUCAGCCACACUGGAACUGAGACACGGUCCAGACUCCUACGGGAGGCAGCAGUGGGGAAUAUUGGACAAUGGGCGCAAGCCUGAUCCAGCCAUACCGCGUGGGUGAAGAAGGCCUUCGGGUUGUAAAGCCCUUUUGUUGGGAAAGAAAUCCAGCCCGGCUUAAUACCUGGUUGGGGAUGACGGUACCCAAAAGAAAUAAGCACCGGCUAACUUUCUUGCCACAGCCGCGGUAAUACCAAAGGGUGCAAGCGUUACUUCGGAAUUACUUGGGGCGUAA
rnacentral:rRNA from 1 species